rnacentral:rRNA from 1 species
CGGGCGUUAAGUUGCAGGGUAUAGACCCGAAACCCGGUGAUCUAGCCAUGGGCAGGUUGAAGGUUGGGUAACACUAACUGGAGGACCGAACCGACUAAUGUUGAAAAAUUAGCGGAUGACCUGUGGCUGGGGGUGAAAGGCCAAUCAAACCGGGAGAUAGCUGGUUCUCCCCGAAAGCUAUUUAGGUAGCGCCUCGUGAAUUCAUCUCCGGGGGUAGAGCACUGUUUCGGCUAGGGGGCCAUCCCGGCUUACCAACCCGAUGCAAACUGCGAAUACCGGAGAAUGUUAUCACGGGAGACACACGGCGGGUGCUAACGUCCGUCGUGAAGAGGGAAACAACCCAGACCGCCAGCUAAGGUCCCAAAGUCAUGGUUAAGUGGGAAACGAUGUGGGAAGGCCCAGACAGCCAGGAUGUUGGCUUAGAAGCAGCCAUCAUUUAAAGAAAGCGUAAUAGCUCACUGGUCGAGUCGGCCUGCGCGGAAGAUGUAACGGGGCUAAACCAUGCACCGAAGCUGCGGCAGCGACACUCAGGUGUUGUUGGGUAGGGGAGCGUUCUGUAAGCCUGCGAAGGUGGCCUGUGAGGGUUGCUGGAGGUAUCAGAAGUGCGAAUGCUGACAUAAGUAACGAUAAAGCGGGUGAAAAGCCCGCUCGCCGGAAGACCAAGGGUUCCUGUCCAACGUUAAUCGGGGCAGGGUGAGUCGACCCCUAAGGCGAGGCCGAAAGGCGUAGUCGAUGGGAAACGGGUUAAUAUUCCCGUACUUGGUGUUACUGCGAAGGGGGGACGGAGAAGGCUAUGUUGGCCGGGCGACGGUUGUCCCGGUUUAAGCGUGUAGGUGUGUGUUCCAGGUAAAUCCGGUUCACUUUAACACUGAGGCGUGAUGACGAGGCACUACGGUGCUGAAGCAACAAAUGCCCUGCUUCCAGGAAAAGCCUCUAAGCAUCAGGUAACAUCAAAUCGUACCCCAAACCGACACAGGUGGUCAGGUAGAGAAUACCAAGGCGCUUGAGAGAACUCGGGUGAAGGAACUAGGCAAAAUGGUGCCGUAACUUCGGGAGAAGGCACGCUGACAUGUAGGUGAAGUGAUUUACUCAUGGAGCUGAAGUCAGUCGAAGAUACCAGCUGGCUGCAACUGUUUAUUAAAAACACAGCACUGUGCAAACACGAAAGUGGACGUAUACGGUGUGACGCCUGCCCGGUGCCGGAAGGUUAAUUGAUGGGGUCAGCGCAAGCGAAGCUCCUGAUCGAAGCCCCGGUAAACGGCGGCCGUAACUAUAACGGUCCUAAGGUAGCGAAAUUCCUUGUCGGGUAAGUUCCGACCUGCACGAAUGGCGUAAUGAUGGCCAGGCUGUCUCCACCCGAGACUCAGUGAAAUUGAACUCGCUGUGAAGAUGCAGUGUACCCGCGGCAAGACGGAAAGACCCCGUGAACCUUUACUAUAGCUUGACACUGAACAUUGAGCCUUGAUGUGUAGGAUAGGUGGGAGGCUUUGAAGUGUGGACGCCAGUCUGCAUGGAGCCGACCUUGAAAUACCACCCUUUAAUGUUUGAUGUUCUAACGUGGACCCGUGAUCCGGGUUGCGGACAGUGUCUGGUGGGUAGUUUGACUGGGGCGGUCUCCUCCUAAAGAGUAACGGAGGAGCACGAAGGUUGGCUAAUCCUGGUCGGACAUCAGGAGGUUAGUGCAAUGGCAUAAGCCAGCUUGACUGCGAGCGUGACGGCGCGAGCAGGUGCGAAAGCAGGUCAUAGUGAUCCGGUGGUUCUGAAUGGAAGGGCCAUCGCUCAACGGAUAAAAGGUACUCCGGGGAUAACAGGCUGAUACCGCCCAAGAGUUCAUAUCGACGGCGGUGUUUGGCACCUCGAUGUCGGCUCAUCACAUCCUGGGGCUGAAGUAGGUCCCAAGGGUAUGGCUGUUCGCCAUUUAAAGUGGUACGCGAGCUGGGUUUAGAACGUCGUGAGACAGUUCGGUCCCUAUCUGCCGUGGGCGCUGGAGAACUGAGGGGGGCUGCUCCUAGUACGAGAGGACCGGAGUGGACGCAUCACUGGUGUUCGGGUUGUCAUGCCAAUGGCACUGCCCGGUAGCUAAAUGCGGAAGAGAUAAGUGCUGAAAGCAUCUAAGCACGAAACUUGCCCCGA